CUUACACAUGCAAGUCGAACGGCAGCGCGGGAGCAAUCCUGGCGGCGAGUGGCGAACGGGUGAGUAAUACAUCAGAACGUGCCCAAUCGUGGGGGAUAACGCAGCGAAAGCUGUGCUAAUACCGCAUACGAUCUACGGAUGAAAGCAGGGGAUCGCAAGACCUUGCGCGAAUGGAGCGGCCGAUGGCAGAUUAGGUAGUUGGUGAGGUAAAGGCUCACCAAGCCUUCGAUCUGUAGCUGGUCUGAGAGGACGACCAGCCACACUGGGACUGAGACACGGCCCAGACUCCUACGGGAGGCAGCAGUGGGGAAUUUUGGACAAUGGGCGAAAGCCUGAUCCAGCCAUGCCGCGUGCAGGAUGAAGGCCUUCGGGUUGUAAACUGCUUUUGUACGGAACGAAACGGCCUUUUCUAAUAAAGAGGGCUAAUGACGGUACCGUAAGAAUAAGCACCGGCUAACUACGUGCCAGCAGCCGCGGUAAUACGUAGGGUGCAAGCGUUAAUCGGAAUUACUGGGCGUAAAGCGUGCGCAGGCGGUUAUGUAAGACAGUUGUGAAAUCCCCGGGCUCAACCUGGGAACUGCAUCUGUGACUGCAUAGCUAGAGUACGGUAGAGGGGGAUGGAAUUCCGCGUGUAGCAGUGAAAUGCGUAGAUAUGCGGAGGAACACCGAUGGCGAAGGCAAUCCCCUGGACCUGUACUGACGCUCAUGCACG
rnacentral:rRNA from 1 species